UACGUAGGGUGCGAGCGUUGUCCGGAAUUAUUGGGCGUAAAGAGCUCGUAGGCGGCUCAGUAAGUCAGGUGUGAAAACUCCAGGCUCAACCUGGAGACGCCACCUGAUACUGCUGUGGCUAGAGUCCGGUAGGGGAGCAUGGAAUUCCUGGUGUAGCGGUGAAAUGCGCAGAUAUCAGGAGGAACACCAGUGGCGAAGGCGGUGCUCUGGGCCGGAACUGACGCUGAGGAGCGAAAGCGUGGGGAGCAAACAGG
rnacentral:rRNA from 1 species